UGCAGUCGAACGAGAAAGCUCCCUUCGGGGAGCCGGUACAGUGGCGCACGGGUGAGUAACACGUGGGUAAUCUGUCCUCGAGUGGGGAACAACCCAGGGAAACUUGGGCUAAUACCGCAUAACAUCCCGACCUCUCCGGGGGACGGGAUCAAAGCUGGGGAUCGCAAGACCUGGCGCUUGAGGAGGAGCCUGCGGCUGAUUAGCUUGUUGGUGGGGUAACGGCCUACCAAGGCGACGAUCAGUAGCCGGCCUGAGAGGGUGAUCGGCCACACUGGAACUGAGACACGGUCCAGACUCCUACGGGAGGCAGCAGUGAGGAAUUUUGCGCAAUGGGCGAAAGCCUGACGCAGCAAUGCCGCGUGGAUGAUGAAGGCCUUCGGGUCGUAAAAUCCUGUCAAGUGGGAAGAAACCCCCUCCGUUAAUAGCGGCAGGGGGGUGACUGUACCACUGGAGGAAGCCCCGGCUAACUCCGUGCCAGCAGCCGCGGUAAUACGGAGGGGGCAAGCGUUGUUCGGAAUUAUUGGGCGUAAAGGGCGCGUAGGCGGCACUGUAAGUCGGUUGUGAAAUCCCUUGGCUCAACCAAGGAACUGCAACCGAAACUACAGAGCUAGAGUCCGGGAGAGGGUAGUGGAAUUCCCAGUGUAGCGGUGAAAUGCGUAGAUAUUGGGAGGAACACCAGUGGCGAAGGCGGCUACCUGGACCGGUACUGACGCUGAGGCGCGAAAGCUAGGGGAGCAAACAGGAUUAGAUACCCUGGUAGUCCUAGCUGUAAACGAUGA
rnacentral:rRNA from 1 species